rnacentral:rRNA from 1 species
CCUACGGGAGGCAGCAGUGGGGAAUAUUGCACAAUGGGCGCAAGCCUGAUGCAGCGACGCCGCGUGAGGGAUGACGGCCUUCGGGUUGUAAACCUCUUUCAGUAGGGAAGAAGCGAAAGUGACGGUACCUGCAGAAGAAGCGCCGGCUAACUACGUGCCAGCAGCCGCGGUAAUACGUAGGGCGCAAGCGUUAUCCGGAAUUAUUGGGCGUAAAGAGUUCGUAGGCGGUUUGUCGCGUCUGCCGUGAAAGUCCGGGGCUCAACUCCGGAUCUGCGGUGGGUACGGGCAGACUAGAGUGAUGUAGGGGAGACUGGAAUUCCUGGUGUAGCGGUGAAAUGCGCAGAUAUCAGGAGGAACACCGAUGGCGAAGGCAGGUCUCUGGGCAUUAACUGACGCUGAGGAGCGAAAGCAUGGGGAGCGAACAGGAUUAGAUACCCUGGUAGUCCAUGCCGUAAACGUUGGGCACUAGGUGUGGGGGACAUUCCACGUUUUCCGCGCCGUAGCUAACGCAUUAAGUGCCCCGCCUGGGGAGGUACGGCCGCGACGACGUAAACCUACAANAGAAGUUAGACGGCGUGAGACGUGCCGAACGGACGACGACCGAGGGAGGUAGG